rnacentral:tRNA from 1 species
GGCCUGAUGGUCUAGUAGUAUGAUUCCUUGUUAGGGUGUUUGUUUACAAUCUCGAGGAGGUCCCGGGUUCAAUUCCCGGUCAGGCCC